ACAUUUGAUCUAGAUUUUGAAGAGUAGGUGGGGAGAACAUUCCAUGAAGAAAGCAAAGCAAAGUAUGUGAUAUGGUUCAAUAAUGAGAGUGUGUCUUACUCUACUCUGGGCACAGACAUUUAAUGUGCUUGAAGGGAAAGGUUUGUGUUGGGGGAAAAGCUGAAAACAAGGAGGCUGCGAAAGCCAUUUGUGACUUCCUGGUGAAGAAUCUCACCAAAGACCAUUGACUAGAUUCUGGAGACAGAGUGAAGGUACUCUGAUAUUUGAAGAUCGAACCAAAUGUCAGGUCCUUCCUACUGACAGACUUAAGGACUGUGGGAACAGCUCUGGGGAACUAUCACGUCAUGGCUUCCAAAAGCAACACUAAAACAACUAUUAUUCAGAAUUCUUGUGCUCAAAAGUAUUUAUUGAAUACAUCAUUGAAGUGAAAAAGAAGACAUGGAGAAUUCAGAGAACCACAACCACUCAUGCCCAGACUUCAGAAAAUAAUGACACUCAAAUAUAGGAGCGACUCUGAAAUUGUCCCAAUAAAGAUUUUAAAAUAAUGGUAGAAGACAUAGGUUAAAAAGUUAGGAAUAAUGUUACGUCCUCCAGCAAAGCUCUGAACCCCUCCAAGUCACCCAUGACUAUCUCAGCUAGAUCUUCUGGAUUAACACUGCAGCUUCCACAGCAGCACUUGGAUUGUUACAGAGACAACUCCUUUCCUUACACCUUAGGAACCCACCUCUGCUAGCUUCAAACUUUUCUUCUGCAGCUUCCUCACCUCUCUUAGCCUUAACAGAAUUGAAGAGUCAGGCUCUUGGGGCAUGUGGGUGGCUCAGUCGGUUGGGCGGCUGUGUUGGG